rnacentral:rRNA from 1 species
AGUGAACGCUGGCGGUAGGCCUAACACAUGCAAGUCGAACGGCAGCACAGUAAGAUCUUGCUCUUACGGGUGGCGAGUGGCGGACGGGUGAGGCAUACAUCGGAAUCUACUUUUUCGUGGGGGAUAACGUAGGGAAACUUACGCUAAUACCGCAUACGACCUACGGGUGAAAGUAGGGGAGCUUCGGACCUUGCGCGAUUGAAUGAGCCGAUGUCGGAUUAGCUAGUUGGCGGGGUAAAGGCCCACCAAGGCGACGAUCCGUAGCUGGUCUGAGAGGAUGAUCAGCCACACUGGAACUGAGACACGGUCCAGACUCCUACGGGAGGCAGCAGUGGGGAAUAUUGGACAAUGGGCGAAAGCCUGAUCCAGCCAUGCCGCGUGGGUGAAGAAGGCCUUCGGGUUGUAAAGCCCUUUUGUUGGGAAAGAAAAGCAGCAGGUUAAUACCCCGCUGUUCUGACGGUACCCAAAGAAUAAGCACCGGCUAACUUCGUG